UCACGAAAUGGUUGGAGUUAAUUAUAUAUGUGGUUUUAGACUAUACACAGUGUGUGGUAUAAUACUGGAAAAAGAUAUAAUUAGGUGUGAUAGGCUUUUCAAAUACCAGGAUAUCUUGAUAGCGCUUAAACGUAUGUAGUACGUAAGACAAAUAGAAAGUGUUGAGGCUUUCUAUAAUUUCAAAAUCGAUCUCAUAGACUUAUUGGUUUAACCAUCUUUUAUUUAGAAUAAAUAAUAUUAAAUUUCAUCCGUUUGAUUUAAAUACGUGCUUCUAUAUUGAAAUUAAGGUGUAUAGUAAUAAUGUUUCCAUAAGUAUUAAUUAAGGCGUUUAUAAUGAACUCGGCAAUAAAUAUUCUCAACUGUUUAUCAAAAACAUAGCUGUAUGUAAUUAUAUAUAGUUAUUUCUGCUCAAUGUAAUAUAAAUAGCCGCAGUACUCUGACUGUGCAAAGGUAGCAUAAUCAAUUGGCUUAUAAUUGAAGUCUAGUAUGAAAGAAAAUAUGGGGAUUGACUAUAUAAAAUACGUUCUUUUAAAAUUACUUAAUAAGUGAAAAGACUUAUAUUUAAAUAAUAGACGAGAAGACCCUAGAAAUUUUGAGGACUGAUAAGAUGCAUGGUUUUUGUUGGGGCGACACAGUAGCAUAAUUAACCUACUAAGAUUAAUAUGAUUAUUAUAUUAUGGAUAAUUAAAUUACUCUAGGGAUAACAGCAUAAUAUUAAAAAGUUUGUGACCUCGAUGUUGGACUAGGAUACUACCACCCAGAAGGUUACUAGUAAGGCUCUGUUCGAGCAAUUUACUCCUACAUGAUCUGAGUUCAGACCGGCGUAAGCCAGGUCAGUUUCU
rnacentral:rRNA from 1 species